rnacentral:rRNA from 1 species
UACGAAGGGGGCAAGCGUUGCUCGGAAUUACUGGGCGUAAAGAGUGCGUAGGUGGUUUAGUAAGUUGGAAGUGAAAGCCUUGAGCUUAACUCAAGAACUGCUUUCAAGACUGCUAAGCUAGAGUGCGAGAGGGGAUAGUGGAAUUCUUAGUGUAGAGGUGAAAUUCGUAGAUAUUAAGAGGAACAUCAGCGGCGAAGGCGGCUAUCUGGCUCGUAACUGACACUGAUGCACGAAAGCGUGGGGAGCAAACAGG